AUGGAUAAUUGCAAUAAACUUAUUUUCUGGAAUGUGCAUGGCCUCAAUUGCAAAGCUAAACGCACUGCCGUCCAAACGGUCAUCUCCUCGGCCUCCCCCCUCAUCGUAUGCUUGCAAGAGACCAAGCUGGCCGUGGUCACUCCCACACUCGUCUUUGAGACGCUUGGCAAACAAUUUUCGGACUUCUACUUCCUUCCCGCCGACGGAAUGCGCGGAGGCAUCCUCAUGACAUGGUGUGUGGAUCUGAUUGCCCUUGCCAACCGUACCAUUGGCACUUAUCAUGUUUCUGCCACCGUCUCCUCCCUCUCUGGCUCCAACACAUGGUGGCUAACGUGCGUGUACGGGCUGCAAUCCGAGCCGGACAAGCUCACUUUCUUAGCCGAGCUGCAUGAUCUCCGGGACUCCAUUGCGGGCCAUGGCUUAUUGGUGGAGACUUCAACAUGA
rnacentral:rRNA from 1 species